AAAUUGUCAUUAAAGUAGGGGAACGGGCAAUUGCCUUUGUUACAUUUUUGCUCGUUUGAGAAGAGAUUUCACCAUGAACACAUCCCUCGCCGGGAAACGCGGUUUCCGACCAAUCCCACAACGGGGUUCCGAACGUUACCUUUCUCCUCACUCGCACACCCUCGUCUCCGCCAUCCGCUCGAAAUUUUAUUCUAUCUCAUCUUGUGAAUUUUAGAGAUGGAACCAUUUCAAAUUGUGACACAUUAUGCAUGCGAUUGCGGUGUUGAAGAAAUGUUUGGUUAAAGAAGCGAGAGACGUGGAAGGAAAUAGGUGUGAGACACCUUCUUCAUAAAUUUUGAUAGGAAUACAAUGAAGAAGCUGUUGCAAGAGGUUGGCUGUUUGGUAACUUUUUGUUAUUUUACAUUCAGAUAUGGUUUUAAGAGCAGGUAUUGUCCUAAAAGUUAUCAAUUUAUUAUUAUGAUUUUGUAUGAUAUUGCUAUCAAUUCUCUACUCAUAUUGACCUGGUUUUGUAAUUUUAUAGGUUCUUACUGCCUUUUGAGUUUGUGUUUUGUAAUAAAAUAUAUCUAAUGAUCGAUAUUUGUGUACAACUAAAUCAGCAUUUUAGUCCUUGAAACUGUGAAGGUCAGUCAAUUUAGUCCCUUAACAUUUAUAGAAUCAAAAUUAGUCCCUUAAA